GAGAACUUUGAGGUUAACGAUCAACAACACUGAUCGUCCUGCUACCAGUUUGAGUGUUUCUCAGGUAUUACACUUGACUUGAUAUUGAACAAUACGAGAAGUAGAAAGCAAUCACGAUUUAUGGUCACGGUUACGAAAGGGAGACAAAACAAGUGAACCGGAAACCACGCUAGCCAUUUGCGAUUAGUGAAAUGGAAAGUGUACUACACGGGCAGAUAUAUGGAUUACAUUGGUAAAUACUUAUAUAUAUAUAUAUAUACAUAUUGUAUUUCUUAUAUUUUUAUUUAUGUAUACAAUAAUUUUCUUUCCCUGCAAUCAUUAAUUCGUUUCACACAUUCUCUAACUGUUUUUCGUUUUUUAAACGUUAAACCUAAAACUUUACACUGUCAAGGUUAGAAGCACAAAGUGAUAGAAAUAUUAAUAUUAUUGAAUUUCUAAUAAUACAGUAAAAGUGAUUGUGUAAUAUAUGGAUGAGCUAUGUCUAUUAAAAUACUUUAAAUAUAAUUUCAAUCACACGGUUUAUUAUUUAAAAGCAUAUUCUAAUUUACACUUUUAAGAAUGCGCUUUUUAAUCUAGUGUUCAUAAGCUAUAUCUCAGUAUGUAACAGUUUUUCAUUUAAACAUCACACUUUUCUCAUUUUAAUGGUGUUUAUAAUGACAUUUGUUAACUUAUACAGUAAGAUAAUUCACUAAACUUUUAGUUAAGAUUUAAACAACAUAAUUUUUAAACAUUUCACUUUUUGUUAAUAGUUAUAACAAUAGGAAUUGGAACCUUAUUAAAUAAAACAAUUUAUGAAGUAUUUGAAUGAGUCCUAUAAAUAAGCUAAAGUACAUAUGAGUGGUAUGAAAUGUAUCAAUAGCUAAACUUAUUUACAGAAUGAAGUUACUACCAAACAAUUAAAUUUAUGAAUCAAUACAAAACAACAAAAAAGAACAAAAGAACACUAAACUGAGAAAUGUAUUUUAACUUUCAUUUUUUCAUGAUUAUUUUCAAUUUAGUAUAUAAAAGAGAAUGAAGUAUUAUUACUAAUGAAAUUUAUAUGUAUAUAUCAACAUGUUUUUUCACAGGGCUAUAAAUGUUAUAUUUCAAUAGAAAUGCUUCACAUGAUUUAUAUCAAAAC